AGCCGUUGAUGACAAACAUAAUAAACUUUUCUGACACCUACUAUGAGAGCUGGACUCCGGCUCCUGAUUCUAACUUUAUUCUGAGGCUA
rnacentral:snoRNA from 1 species